rnacentral:rRNA from 1 species
CGAGUGAAGCGGCAAGAGCUCAAAUUUGAAAUCUGGCCUCCUUCGGGGGYCCGAGUUGUAAUUUGYAGAGGAUGCUUCGGGUGCGGCCGCCGUCUAAGUUCCUUGGAACAGGACGUCAGAGAGGGUGAGAAUCCCGUCUUGGGCGGGCGGUCCGCGCCCGUGUGAAGCUCCUUCGACGAGUCGAGUUGUUUGGGAAUGCAGCUCUAAGCGGGUGGUAAAUUUCAUCUAAAGCUAAAUAUUGGCCGGAGACCGAUAGCGCACAAGUAGAGUGAUCGAAAGGUUAAAAGCACCUUGAAAAGGGAGUUAAACAGCACGUGAAAUUGUUGAAAGGGAAGCGCUUGCGGCCAGACUCGGGGGCGGGGUUCAGCGGGUGCUCGUCGCCCGUGUAUUCCUCGWUYYCCSGGGCCAGCAUCAGUUUCGACGGCCGGUCAAAGGCCCCCGGAAUGUGUCGUCUCUCGGGACGUCUUAUAGCCGGGGGUGCAAUGCGGCCYGUCGGGACUGAGGAACGCGCUCCGGCUCGGAUGCUGGCGUAAUGGCCGUAAGCGGCCCGUCUUGAAACACGGACCAAGGAGUCUAACAUCCACGCGAGUGUUCGGGUGUCAAACCCGUGCGCGCAGUGAAAGCGAACGGAGGUGGGAGCCUUAGGGCGCACCAUCGACCGAUCCUGAAGUCUUCGGAUGGAUUUGAGUAGGAGCGUGGCCGUUGGGACCCGAAAGAUGGUGAACUAUGCCUGAAUAGGGUGAAGCCAGAGGAAACUCUGGUGGAGGCUCGCAGCGGUUCUGACGUGCAAAUCGAUCGUCGAAUUU